UAAAUGUAUUUGUCGUGGUUUUUAAUUAGGUUUUGUAUUGUUAUAAUAGAUUGUUUAAUAUGGUUAUAUAAUAUAAGAUAGAUUAUUUUAUUAAAUGAUGUUUAAUAUAAUUGUUUUAAAAAUGUUCAGUAUAUUUAUUUAUACAAUGAAUGAGAGUUUUAUAUAGAAAUUAUAGUUUAGAAUUGGAGAAAUUUGUGCCAGCAUCUGCGGUUAUACAUAUAAUUUAAAUUAAAAAUGUUUGGUUGAAAGAAAAGUAAAAUUGAAAGAUAUUAUGGAGGAAAAUUUAUAAUUGGUUUUUUGGUAAAAUUUUUAAAAUUAAUUUGUUUUUUAUGAUUUCUCUAAUAUUGAUACUUUGAAAAUUUAAAAAUAAACUAGGAUUAGAUACCCUAUUAUUUUUUAAUGUAAAAGUUGAUAUUUUUACCUAAGUAUUAUGAAGAUUAUUAAUAUUUAUUAAUAGUUUUGUUUAUUUAAAACUUAAAAAGUUUGGCGGUUUUACAUAUCCAAUUAGGGGAGUUUGUUAAUUGAUUUGAUAAUCCACAAUUUAAACUUACUUUUUUUUGAGUAUAUAUGUAUGUAUAUACAGUUUAUAUAUUGCUGUCGUCAGUUUAUAUUUUGUGAAUUAAAGGACUAUUAAAGUUUUUGUUUUUUAUGUCAAGUCAUAAUGUAGCUGAUAAAGAAGGUUUAAUGAACUACUAUAAUUAAUAUUGUUAAUAUAUCCAGAUAAUGAAGAUUAUAUUUUGUUAGAAAGGUGGACUUAAUAGUAAAUUUAUAAUUAGUAUGUAUUUUUGAAUAUGGUUUUGUAAGGUGUACAUAUCGCCCGUCACUCUUGUUGUUGAGAUAAGAUAAGUCGUAACAUAGUAGGGGUAAUGGAAAUUGUUUCUGGAAAGUU
rnacentral:ncRNA from 1 species